rnacentral:rRNA from 1 species
AACGAACGCUGGCGGCAGGCCUAACACAUGCAAGUCGAGGGGGAAGCCAUUUUUCGGAUGGUGGAGACCGGCGCACGGGUGAGUAACGCGUGGGCACCUGCCCUGGGGUGGGGGAUAACCGGCUGGAAACGGCGGCUAAUACCGCAUACGCCCUAUUCCUGUAGAGGGGAUGGGGGAAAGAUUUUAUUGCCCUGGGAUGGGCCCGCGUUGGAUUAGCUUGUUGGUGGGUAAAGGCCUACCAAGGCGACGAUCCAUAGCUGGUCUGAGAGGAUGAUCAGCCACACUGGGACUGAGACACGGCCCAGACUCCUACGGGAGGCAGCAGUGGGGAAUAUUGGACAAUGGGGGCAACCCUGAUCCAGCCAUGCCGCGUGCGUGAAGAAGGCCUUAGGGUUGUAAAGCGCUUUCACCGGUGACGAUGAUGACGGUAGCCGGAGAAGAAGCCCCGGCUAACUCCGUG